CGGGAUCUCAAACCACAGAAUGUCUUGAUCGAUGUUAAAGGAAGGGCAAGAUUAGCUGAUUUUGGCAUAAGCAGACGGUUACUCAUGGGACAAACAACUCUACGCACAAGCAGUGUAGGAACAAAAUGCUGGAUGGCCAAGGAGACUUUAGAAGGAAGACCUGACACACCAUACAAGUGGAGCACUGACAUACAGGUGGCAGGGAUGCUGGUUUAUUAUAUCCUCUCUAGAGGACACCAUCCUUUUGGUGACA